rnacentral:rRNA from 1 species
GAAUUCGCCCUUAGAGUUUGAUCCUGGCUCAGGACGAACGCUGGCGGCGCGCCUAACACAUGCAAGUCGAACGGAGCUUAGAGAGCUUGCUUUUUAAGCUUAGUGGCGAACGGGUGAGUAACGCGUGAGUAACCUGCCCUAGAGUGGGGGACAACAGUUGGAAACGACUGCUAAUACCGCAUAAGCCCACGGUACCGCAUGGUACUGAGGGAAAAGGAUUUAUUCGCUUCAGGAUGGACUCGCGUCCAAUUAGCUAGUUGGUGAGGUAACGGCCCACCAAGGCGACGAUUGGUAGCCGGACUGAGAGGUUGAACGGCCACAUUGGGACUGAGACACGGCCCAGACUCCUACGGGAGGCAGCAGUGGGGGAUAUUGCACAAUGGGGGAAACCCUGAUGCAGCGACGCCGCGUGGAGGAAGAAGGUUUUCGGAUUGUAAACUCCUGUCGUUAGGGACGAUAAUGACGGUACCUAACAAGAAAGCACCGGCUAACUACGUGCCAGCAGCCGCGGUAAAACGUAGGGUGCAAGCGUUGUCCGGAAUUACUGGGUGUAAAGGGAGCGCAGGCGGACCGGCAAGUUGGAAGUGAAAACUAUGGGCUCAACCCAUAAAUUGCUUUCAAAACUGCUGGCCUUGAGUAGUGCAGAGGUAGGUGGAAUUCCCGGUGUAGCGGUGGAAUGCGUAGAUAUCGGGAGGAACACCAGUGGCGAAGGCGACCUACUGGGCACCAACUGACGCUGAGGCUCGAAAGCAUGGGUAGCAAACAGGAUUAGAUACCCUGGUAGUCCAUGCCGUAAGCGAUGAU